UAAGGUCUAACAGUUACAGCUUCAGGACCUCUAGAUGUCCUCGAAUGCGAUUGUCAUUGCUUCCCAACUGUACAAGUUUGUUAGCAAUGCGUGUUAGAUGCCCUAUGUUACCCAGUCGGGGUGCUUGUUUACCAGUAGCAGGAAAAGUGGGCUGACUUUCACUGCCAGAAACUGUGGGCUGUUUAUCCGUUUGAAGAAUUUUUCUAAGCAAAUUACAGUCUUCAAAAAGAUGAUCGACCAGGACGCUGUUUCUGCUUUCCAAGCAUGAAUUGAUUAUACUCUCUACGUGAUG
rnacentral:misc_RNA from 1 species